rnacentral:rRNA from 1 species
AUCAUUAAUUUCAGUAGUUUACUACUGUUUGAAGGGGGUGGAAACUUUCUAGGCUUGCCUAGACUGAAGUACAUUUCUUUUCUUAACCCUUGACUUUUUGCGCACUCAUGUUUCCUCGGCAGGCUUGCCUGCCGUUUGGACAAUUCUAUAACCUUUUGAAUUUUCAAUCAGCGUCUGCAUAAUUUUAAAUAAUUACAACUUUCAACAACGGAUCUCUUGGUUCUGGCAUCGAUGAAGAACGCAGCGAAAUGCGAUAAGUAGUGUGAAUUGCAGAAUUCAGUGAAUCAUCGAAUCUUUGAACGCACAUUGCGCCCCUUGGUAUUCCAUGGGGCAUGCCUGUUCGAGCGUCAUUUGUACCCUCAAGCUUUGCUUGGUGUUGGGUGAUUGUCUUGGCUAUGCCUAGACUCGCCUUAAAUGUAUUGGCAGCUAAUAUAAUGGUUUGAAGCGCAGCACAAUUGCAUUUCAGCUCAGUAAUAAUUAGCAUCCAUAAAGAUAAUUUAACACUUUUGACCUCGGAUCAGGUAGGGAUACCCGCUGAACUUAAGCAUAUCAAUAAGCGGAGGAAAAGAAACCAACAGGGAUUGCCCUAGUAACGGCGAGUGAAGCCGGCAAUAGCUCAAAAUUG